UCGGGAAUUUUGGGCAAUGGGCGAAAGCCUGACCCAGCAACGCCGCGUGAAGGAUGAAGUAUUUCGGUAUGUAAACUUCGAAAGAAUAGGAAGAAUAAAUGACGGUACUAUUUAUAAGGUCCGGCUAACUACGUGCCAGCAGCCGCGGUAAUACGUAGGGACCAAGCGUUGUUCGGAUUUACUGGGCGUAAAGGGCGCGUAGGCGGCAAUUCAAGUCAUCUGUGAAAUCUCCGGGCUUAACUCGGAACGGUCAGAUGAUACUGCUUUGCUAGAGUGCAGAAGGGGCAAUCGGAAUUCUUGGUGUAGCGGUGAAAUGCGUAGAUAUCAAGAGGAACACCUGAGGUGAAGACGGGUUGCUGGGCUGACACUGACGCUGAGGCGCGAAAGCCAGGGGAGCAAACGGGGAUUAGAUACCCCUGUAGUCCCUGAGCGGGCUGGCAAGGCGCAU
rnacentral:rRNA from 1 species